AGCGAACGCUGGCGGCAGGCCUAACACAUGCAAGUCGAACGAACCUUUCGGGGUUAGUGGCGGACGGGUGAGUAACACGUGGGAACGUGCCUUUAGGUUCGGAAUAACUCAGGGAAACUUGUGCUAAAACCGAAUGUGCCCUUCGGGGGAAAGAUUUAUCGCCUUUAGAGCGGCCCGCGUCUGAUUAGCUAGUUGGUUGAGGUAAUGGCUCACCAAGGCGACGAUCAGUAGCUGGUCUGAGAGGAUGAUCAGCCACAUUGGGACUGAGACACGGCCCACACUCCUACGGGAGGCAGCAGUGGGGAAUCUUGCGCAAUGGGCGAAAGCCUGACGCAGCCAUGCCGCGUGAAUGAUGAAGGUCUUAGGAUUGUAAAAUUCUUUCACCGGGGACGAUAAUGACGGUACCCGGAGAAGAAGCCCCGGCUAACUUCGUG
rnacentral:rRNA from 1 species